rnacentral:rRNA from 1 species
UGAGCCCUACGGGAGGCAGCAGUGGGGGAUAUUGCACAAUGGGGGAAACCCUGAUGCAGCGCCGCCGCGUGGGCGAUGGAGUGCUUCGGCAUGUAAAGCCCUAUCAGCAGGGAAGAAAAUGACGGUACCUGACUAAGAAGCCCCGGCUAAAUACGUGCCAGCAGCCGCGGUAAUACGUAUGGGGCAAGCGUUAUCCGGAUUUAAUGGGUGUAAAGGGGGCGUAGACGGCCGUGCAAGUCUGAUGUGAAAACCCGGGGCUCAACCCCGGGACGGCAUUGGCAACUGAAUGGCUGGCGGGUCGGAGG